rnacentral:rRNA from 1 species
UACAGAGGGUGCGAGCGUUAAUCGGAAUUACUGGGCGUAAAGCGCACGUAGGCGGCUUUGCAAGUCAGGUGUGAAAUCCCCGGGCUUAACCUGGGAACUGCAUUUGAGACUGCAUUGCUAGAGUAUGGGAGAGGGAAGUGGAAUUUCCGGUGUAGCGGUGAAAUGCGUAGAGAUCGGCAGGAACACCCAGGGGGAAACCAGUCGGACUGGGCAUCGUACUGACGCUGAGGUGC